rnacentral:lncRNA from 1 species
CACCACCACGACGGCGAAGAUGAUCGUCAAUCCUUCCCCCCUUCACCGCCACGCAACAAUUUCGCCGGUGCUCCACCACCCCCUGGCCUUUACCAGCCACCGCCUCCUCAUUUCGAUCCCUACGCGUCGUCUCCUCCAGCUCCGGCGCCUUACCGAUCGGAACCUCAAUUCGAUCCCUACGCGCCGUCUCCGCCGGCACCGGCGCCUUACCGAUCAGAACCUUAUUUCGAAGCUCCGUCGCCGCCGCCUCCGUUUGGUCAUGUGAGCCAUGUCGGCCACCACACAUCCAACGAAACCUACCCACCGGAGCACCACCGUUACGGAGGUUACCCGCCGACUAAUUCGGCUCUGGAAAGCCACGGAGACCAC